rnacentral:rRNA from 1 species
AAUAAAAAUACGUUACGAGCUUGUACACAGGCUUCUAAAGCCACUCGAUUAGCUGCUGCAUCAGGUGCAUUUCCCCAAGGAUGUCCUAAAGUUCCUCCACCAAAUUGUAAUACAGAAUCGUCCCCAAAGAUUUCGGUCAGAGAAUUAGUUUCUUCAGAUUCUGACGUAACAAACAAUUUUUAUGAGACAUAA